GAACGAACGCUAACGGCGCUCUUAACACAUGCAAGUCGAAUGGUGCUUAGUAAUAAGUAACCAUGGCAAACGGGUGAGUAACACGUGGGAAUAUACCUAUAAGAGGAGGAUAAAUCGAGUAAUUUCUUUAGAAUACUCCAUAGUUCCGAAAGGAUAAAGGCUUCGGCCGCUUAUAGAUUAGCCUGCGCAAGGUUUCUAGUUGGUGAGGUAAAGGCUCACCAAGGUAUAACCUUUAGUUGGUCUGCGAGGAUGAUCAGCCACACUGGAACUGAGACACGGUCCAGACUCCUACGGGAGGCAGCAGUGAGGAAUAUUAGGCAAUGGGGGAAACCCUGACCUAGAGACGCCGUGUGAAGGAAGAAGGUCUUUGGAUUGUAAACUUCUGUCGUGGGGGAAGAUAAUGACUGUACCCCAAAAGGAAGUACCGGCUAACUCUGUGCCAGCAGCCGCGGUAAUACAGAGGGUACUAGCGUUGUUCGGAAUUAUUGGGCGUAAAGGGUGCGUAGGCUGUCUUUUUAAGUCAAUUGUGAAAUUCUGGAGCUUAACUCCAGCGCUAUAAUUGAUACUAUAAGACUAGAAUAUGGAAGGGGUAGAUGGAAUUUCCAGUGUAGGAGUGAAAUCCGUAGAUAUUGGAAGGAACACCAGAGGCGAAGGCGAUCUACUGGGACAUUAUUGACGCUGAGGCACGAAGGCGUGGGGAGCAAACAGGAUUAGAUACCCUGGUAGUCCACGCAGUAAACGAUGAGAGCUAGGUAUUGGAGAUUAAUUCAGUGCCGCCGCUAACGCAGUAAGCUCUCCGCCUGGGGAGUAAAAUCGCAAGAUUGAAACUUAAAGGAAUUGACGGGGAUUAGAACAAUUGGUGGAUUAUGUGGUUUAAUUCGAAGGUACACGAAAACCUUACCAGCUUUUGACAUGUUAGUCGUAGAGAUAAGAAACUAUCUCGUCGGUUCGGCCGGACUAACACAGGUGCUGCAUGGCCGUCGUCAGCUCGUGUCGUGAGAUGUUGGGUUAAGUCCUAAAACGAGCGCAACCCCUAUCCUUAGUUGCUAACAGGUAAUGCUGAGUACUUUAAGGAGACUGAUAGUGAUAAGCUAUAGGAAGGUGGGGAUGAGGUCAGGUCCUUAUGACCCUUAUAGGCUGGGCUACACAUGUAAUACAAUGGUGACUACAGAGAGAUUUUAUAGCAAUUCGGCAACGAGGAGCAAACUCUAAAAGUCAUCUCAGUUCGGAUUGGUCUCUGCAACUCGAGACCAUGAAGUUGAAAUCAAUAGUAAUCGUAGAUAAGUAACGCUACGGUGAAUACGUUCUCUAAUCUUGUACACACCGCCCGUCGCGCCAUGGGAGUUUGUUCUAUCUAAAG
rnacentral:rRNA from 1 species